GACGAAGUAGCCAAGUGGCUUAAGGCUGGUGUCUGCAAAACAUCAAUCGAGAGUUCGAUUCUCUCCUUCGUCUCCA
rnacentral:tRNA from 1 species